rnacentral:lncRNA from 1 species
UUCAUAAGGAGCCAAGUCUUCUUGGUGCACAGGCACAUGUGUGCUUUCCCCUCUGUCUCUUUCUGUCUCUUACCUUACCACCCUUCUCCUUUCCUCCCUCAGAUGCAGACCUGCAGUAAAGCAUCCUUUCACUUCUACUUCCUGGGACAUGAUCAUGGGGCCAGAACCCCUACAGCAUCCCCUUCCUUAUCACACUGCCUACCUGAGACUUCAUUGUCAUCAAAGAGGAAUUUGAUUGGAAGCCCGAAUUUCACAUAAUCAUAAAUCUCUGCAAAGAUGAGAAAAUAGAGGCUCCGAGAAGGAAAGGGAAUGAUUCUU